AAAGGAUCCUCUGUCGUUUAAUCGUGCGGGUGGCCGUACCGGAACAGCUCCUAAAUGGCGGAAUGAGCAAAUCUGGGCCCGGCUCCAGCUGCGGACUUUCCCGGCCGCCGUCAUGACGUUCCGGGUGUUGGUUCUGCCGAGUGACGGACCAGGGGACUAUUUCGAUCGUGGAUUAAGGAUGAGCCAAGUAAUGCUGCCGGGGAGUUUCUUUCCGGAUGAAAUCAAUGGAAACAGUGCAACAAUCUCAUCCACGGGUCAACUGAUCACCAAGAGGGCAAUCCUACUGCAACCAGGCUGCUUGUUUGGAUCGCCAAAUUUUCCCUGGCCGUUUCCUGGAAGGCGUUGCUACAGAUGCGAAAAGGGUAGACCGACAACGUAGACGGAGUUCCUGUGGUGUUGGUGGUGACAAGAGGACGAAAUCAACCGGAGCCUUCGCGCGAACCUGGCCGAUUCGAUGAUGGCGGACGGAUUUUCAUAAAGAAUUCGAAUUGAACUGACUGGGUGGAAGAGAAACCAAAGCCAAAGUUUGUAACACGCACCAACACGAACACAAACGUACACAGCUUUUUGGGCCAAUACAAUAAGAACCAUAAAAAUACUGUAUUUAAUUAUAUAUUUCAUUGUCCAUAUUCUUUUUUUACAGUACAAUUUAGUGGAGAGAAAAAAAAUAAAUAACAUAAAAAUACAAUAAAACUUACUGUAGUUAUUAUUUAUUUCAUUGUCCGAUUAUAGUUUUUACAAUAUCAUUUAGUAUGGGAAAAUCCAUGAAGAACUGUGAAUUUACUGUGCAAACCAUAGUAAUGGUUACUGUAUUUAUUAUAGAUGCAUGAUGUUUUCUAUGGUUUGGGUCAAUUUUUUGACGGAAAAGGCAUCAAUGAAAAUACGGUAGAAUGUAUAGUAUUUGGUUUUUUUUGUAUGGGGAAAAGUCGAAAUUUUUAUGGUGACUGUGCCUAACAAUACCCCUUUUUUAUAGUAAAUUCCCAAAAUAAGAUAUAUUCUAUGGUGAAAAAACAUAAAGGCUACUGUAGAAUCAUGGUAAAAAUAACCAUAGAAUUUAUCGUGUGAUAACCAUAAAAUCUACUGUUGGUUUAUAGUAAAUCUUUA